rnacentral:rRNA from 1 species
GAUGAAUGCUGGCGGCGUGCCUAACACAUGCAAGUCGAGCGGCAGCGCGAGUAGUUUACUACUUGGCGGCGAGCGGCGGACGGCUGAGUAACGCGUGGGAACGUACCCCAAAGUGAGGAAUAACUGCCCGAAAGGGUAGCUAAUGCCGCAUAUGGUCUUCGGAUUAAAGGAUUUAUCCGCUUUGGGAACGGCCUGCGUACGAUUAGAUAGUUGGUGAGGUAAAGGCUCACCAAGUCGACGAUCGUUAACUGGUCUGAGAGGAUGAUCAGUCAGACUGGAACUGAGACACGGUCCAGACUCCUACGGGAGGCAGCAGUGAGGAAUCUUCCACAAUGGGCGAAAGCCUGAUGGAGCAACGCCGCGUGCAGGAUGAAGGCCUUCGGGUCGUAAACUGCUUUUAUAAGUGAAGAAUAUGACGGUAACUUAUGAAUAAGCACCGGCUAACUACGUGCCAGCAGCCGCGGUA